UGAGGAAUAUUGCUUAAUGGGCGAAAGCCUGAAGCAGCAACGCCGCGUGAACGAAGGAGGCCUUCGGGUCGUAAAGUUCUUUUACGUGGGAUGAGGAAGGACAGUACCACGAGAAUAAGUCUCGGCUAACUACGUGCCAGCAGCCGCGGUAAAACGUAGGAGACGAGCGUUAUCCGGAUUUACUGGGCGUAAAGAGCGUGUAGGAGGCGCUACAAGUUGGAUGUAAAAGCUCCCGGCUUAACUGGAGAGGUCGUUCAAGACUGUAGAGCUAGAGUAAGGCAGAAGUAGAUGGAACUCCGGGAGUAGUGGUGAAAUGCGUAGAUAUCCGGAAGAACACCAGAGGCGAAAGCGAUCUACUGGACCUUAACUGACACUGAGACGCGAAAGCCAGGGUAGCAAACG
rnacentral:rRNA from 1 species